rnacentral:miRNA from 1 species
AUUCUUGUAUUGCCACCUCCAUCUUUUGAAGUCUUGACUUUUCUAGAAUUGUGUAGAACACAAAUGAGCAUUAUUUUUUUCAACAUUAUUGUGUAGAAAAGUCAAGACUUCAAAAGAUGGAGGUGGCAAUACAAGAAUA